AUGAACGCUAGCGGCAGGCCUAAUACAUGCAAGUCGGACGGGAUUGCGGAGCUUGCUUCGCAUGAGAGUGGCGCACGGGUGCGUAACACGUAUGUAACCUACCUUUGUCAGGGGGAUAGCCUCUCGAAAGAGAGAUUAAGACCGCAUAAAAAUCACAAUGUGGCAUCAACAAAUGAUCAAAUAUUUAUAGGACAAAGAUGGGCAUGCGGGAACAUUAGCUAGUUGGCGAGGGUAACGGCUCACCAAGGCUACGAUGCUUAGGGGAUCUGAGAGGAUGACCCCCCACACUGGUACUGAGACACAGACCAGACUCCUACGGGAGGCAGCAGUAAGGAAUAUUGGUCAAUGGACGGAAGUCUGAACCAGCCAUGCCGCGUGCAGGAAGACGGCCCCUACGGGUUGUAAACUGCUUUUGCAGGGGAAUAAACCUUGGUAUGUAUACCAAGCUGAAUGUACUCUGAGAAUAAGGAUCGGCUAACUCCGUGCCAGCAGCCGCGGUAAUACGGAGGAUCCGAGCGUUAUCCGGAUUUAUUGGGUUUUAAAGGGUGCGUAGGUGGUUUUUUAAGUCAGGGGUGAAAGACGGCAGCUUAACUGUCGCAGUGCCUUUGAUACUGAAGAACUUGAAUGAACUAGAGGUAGGCGGAAUGUGACAAGUAGCGGUGAAAUGCAUAGAUAUGUCACAGAACACCGAUUGCGAAGGCAGCUUACUAUGGUUUGAUUGACACUGAGGCACGAAAGCGUGGGGAUCAAACAGGAUUAGAUACCCUGGUAGCCCACGCCCUAACGAUGAAUACUCGAUGUUGGCGAUAUACGGUCAGCGUCUAAGCGAAAGCGUUAAGUAUUCCACCUGGGGAGUACGCCCGCAAGGGUGAAACUCAAAGGAAUUGACGGGGGCCCGCACAAGCGGAGGAGCAUGUGGUUUAAUUCGAUGAUACGCGAGGAACCUUACCCGGGCUUGAAAGUUAGUGAAUGAUCCAGAGACGGAUCAGUCCUUCGGGACACGAAACUAGGUGCUGCAUGGCUGUCGUCAGCUCGUGCCGUGAGGUGUUGGGUUAAGUCCCGCAACGAGCGCAACCCCUAUGUUUAGUUGCCAGCAUUUAAGGUGGGGACUCUAACAGACUGCCUAUGCAAAUAGAGAGGAAGGAGGGGACGACGUCAAGUCAUCAUGGCCCUUACGUCCGGGGCUACACACGUGCUACAAUGGAUGGUACAGAGGGCAGCGACCUGGCAACAGGAAGCCAAUCUCGGAAAGCCAUUCACAGUUCGGAUCGGGGUCUGCAACUCGACCCCGUGAAGUUGGAUUCGCUAGUAAUCGCGUAUCAGCAAUGACGCGGUGGAAUACGUUCCCGGGCCUUGUACACACCGCCCGUCAAGCCAUGGAAGCUGGGGGUGCCUGAAGUCGGUAACCGUAAGGAGCCGCCUAGGGUAAAACCGGUAACUGGGGCU
rnacentral:rRNA from 1 species